UAAAUGCAGGGCUUCAUGGGUGAGGGAGAGAAGAAAGACUUGGUUAAAGCCCAAAUGUUUCUAGCUUUGGUGGUAGUGCUAGUCACUAACAGAGAACACAGAACAAGAGUAGGAUUGGGGGAAAGAUGAGUACAGUUUGGAAUAUCCAUUUUGUAGCUAGAUACGUGCCUCUGAAACUGAGUUGCAGAGAUUAAAUGUGGCCAAAAAGUCAAGUAAAGUAAGGAAUGGAAAGUAUGUAAUUAUUUUCAGCAGCAAGGUGUCCUCUAGUGACUGGUGAAAGCAGUUUUAGAAAGAAGGUGGCCACAGGGGCCUGAUGAUAGUGGGUUGAGGAGUGUAUAGGGAUAAGGAAACCACUGUGUGUGGUAGAUAAUUUAGAGAAUUUGGGCUUUAAAGGAGAGGACAGAGUGAGCGAAUUCAGUAAUCUGCAAGAUGAGUAGGGAAUGAAGAACACACUUAAAUGUUGCAGAAAUAAGUCAGAAGAAAUAAGUUAGUAGCUCUCUUCUCCCAGUGGCCUUGUUCUAAUGCUUAUCUUCAAUUAUUAAAAACAAUUAAUAGGGUUAAUGCUUUGUCCACUGCUUGUAUACAGUAGGUGUUCAAACAAUGUUUCCCUUUACUUAGUUCCUGUUUCUUCAUUGCUUAUCUCUAAGCCAUUUCUCUGCCAUCUCUUCCCCCUCACACACACCUUUUUUAGCAUUUUGGUAUAGUUCUUGCCUGUAUUUCUAUGCUUUAGAAAAACAUGGUUGAAAAUACACUACCUGUACCUUUUUUUACUUGCUAUUUUAAUGUAUUUCCCUGUUAAUAUCAUUAACUAUUAUUUUUUAUUUACUGCUACAUAUCCCACCUUACAGAUGUACAAAGCUACACCUGGCCAUUUUGCCAUAGUUAGGCCUGUAGGUGCUCAUGUGUUUACAAAUAAAUCUUUGUUCAUAUUGCUAAUUAUUUCCCCACAUUAGUCUUCUAGAAGUGGGAUUAUAAUGGUAAACAUUUUAGGAGGAAUUAGAAAGCUAGUUUCACAUUAAGGAUUGGAAGUAAUAGUGUUGUUUCUUACGAGCAUAGUACUAAUUUUUCAAGUCCCAUUGAUAUUUUACAAAAAAGAAUGAUUGUAUGAAUCUUAUUCAGUUUUUCAAUUUCUAAGCAGCAUUAUCUGCUUCAUCUUAAAAAUAUUAAUCAUCUCAUUGUUUAUAAGGUUACUCACUGUUUGAAGACAACUACUUAGAUUUCAUCCCUGCAUCCUAAAGCUUUACAUUCCAAGAAAGACAUACUGAUGCAGGCAUGCAUGCUUGAGAUUCACCAGAAGCAGACAAAAACUGUUAAAACUGUCCCAUAGGUGGACCUCCAAAUGAGUCUAGGGCAAUCACAUUGCAAGGAUCAGGACCAAAGUACAUUUAUUACAUAGACUGAGGAGAGAGGAGGUCAGCAGGGACCAGCUAGGACAUCCAGCCUUCAACUGGGCCAAAUGUAAAGAACACAUAUUUGGUCUGCGUAUUCCCUCUGAAGGCCUCUGCUGUAGCCUAUUUCCUUCCAGUGCAUGGUAACAUGUGGCUGCUCUCAGAAAAGUACUGUGACUACCGCCUACUAGGUUCUUUAAUUUCCUUCCCCCUUUCUCUCUCAAUCCAUCUUCCCCAUAUGACCUUGUUCCCUAGCCCUGCCUCAAGUCCCAGACUAACCCAGCCCUCAGUCAGCAGGAUGGUGGAUGACACUGGUUUGAAGAUCUCCCUGGGUCUCCUCUAGCCAGUCAGACUGGUGGUGUGUUUGGAAACCACAGGCCCUGACUGUGGCUGUCAGACCUCCGGACGCCAUCUGCUGCCGGUCUGUCAUCAUCAUCCUCAGGUACUGCGCUCAUCUGGCUGGGCCUCCACCUACCACCCUCUGCUGCAGCUGUCCCACAAGCACGAGUGCCGCCUCCUGACACCACGAGAGAGCCUAUCUGGAUUCCAGGAACAAAUCCAUCCUUGUCUGCCUCCUUCCCACAGAAGAUAAACAUUAAUGGCAUUAUAACAUUGAACAGGCCUAAGGGAGAGAGAAAACCACAAAGCCUGCCUGUCUCACUGCCUCCAUGCCCAGUCCAUGAACAGCGCUUGCCCUGCUGCAUCCAGCGAGCCACCCACAAAGAAGGAGGUCAGCAGAAGUGAAGAUUCAUCCUAGAGACUGUCCUUGCUGGCUUGAUGAACUAAGCAGCCGUGUUUGGGAAGCUCACGGUGAGGAACUAUGGGAAGCCCCCACUCCCAGCCCUUCAUCCCAGGAAGAAGCUGGGAUCCUUGGUCUUAGAGCCACAAGGAAAUGAAUUCUGCCAAGAAUAUGUUAAUUAUUCAUACUGCAUGAUUGAGGAUUUUUGGAUUCAGAGAUUCACCUGCAAUAUUUGGAAUAUCAGUGGAGGUCUACAUCAACACAAAAUUUAUACAGCAGCUGGUGCUAGUCAAAGCUAAUGAUGGAAUUUCAGUUUAAUAAAAAGACCCCCAACUGAGCACACCAUCUUGAAGAAAGUAUACUUAUCAAACAGCUUUCAAUCACUUCAAGAGGGACGCCUUAAUUGGGAAGAGGAAGAUCUGCAGAGUAGUCUGUCAUCGUGCCGAUUCUAGAUCAAUGACUGCAUGUGUGCUCUUUGAUAUACACAGCUUUUGCUUUAUAUUGAAUAAUC